CCCUUAGACGUUCUGGGCCGCACGCGCGCUACACUGACCAGUGCAACAAGCAUCCGUCCUUGGCCGACAGGCCCGGGCAAUCUUUGAACGCUGGUCGUGAUGGGGAUAGACUUUUGCAAUUUUUGGUCUUCAACGAGGAAUUCCUAGUAAACGCAAGUCAUCAACUUGCAUUGAUUACGUCCCUGCCCUUUGUACACACCGCCCGUCGCACCUACCGAUUGAAUGGUCCGGUGAAGCCUCCGGAUUGGCGCGCACCUCGGUGCCGCCGAGAAGUUGGCUACACCUUACCAUUUAGAGGAAGGUGAAGUCGUAACA
rnacentral:rRNA from 1 species